rnacentral:rRNA from 1 species
UACGUAGGGGGCAAGCGUUGUCCGGAUUUUAUUGGGCGUAAAAGAGCUCGUAGGCGGGUUUGUUGCGUCGGCUGUGAAAUCCCGAGGCUCAACCUCGGGUCUGCAGUCGAUACGAGCAAACUAGAGUGUUGCAGGGGAGACUGGAAUUCCUGGUGUAGCGGUGAAAUGCGCAGAUAUCAGGAGGAACACCGGUGGGCGAAGGCGGGUCUCUGGGGCAACUAACUGAC